CCCCAUUCCCAGCGGAUGCUGGAUAACAGAGCUUUUACUGUAAUGAAUUUUAGGUGUACAAAUGCUGAUCAGAGCAGUAAAAUACAGAACCAGGGACCCUAAAGCAGCACCCUAAAUGCCAAAUGCUAGUAGUUAUGUCACUCUGUGAAUUGGUUUCCACUACAUGUCCCAUUCUACAAUGGGCAAUUCCCAAAGUAAUACCUCUCCCCAAGUCUUUGCUCUAGUUGCCAUAGAGGCAACAGCAGGGAAUAGCUGCUGCUUCCUUACCUCUCAAAGUAGUUAUGAAUCUCAAUUUUCUCUGAUUUCACUGUCUCUGAUAAGUGCUUGCCUGCCUGACAAUUAGUGAGCAAUGGCAGGGGAAUCUAACUUCAAGAUCAUUUGGUACUGAAUCAAAGAUGAGGCCACAGGCUGUUGUCUGGCAGUACUGGUGGGUUUGUCCUAUGCUUGCCCAGUUUUUCCUCUCCUCUCUGUUCUUUAUCUGUCACUUUUCUUCUCUAACUUCCAUCCAAGAUGUGGCCAUCAAGAUCCACCUCCUCCUUGUUGUCUGCUGUGUUACCCUGUCCAAGUUCCUGUUCAGACUUCUUGUUGCCCCUGCAUCAAGUCCAAGUUCAGUCCUUCCAGGGAAACGGUACUGAGCUUGUCUCUUGCUGUACCCUACUGCCAAUGAAUCCCACCACACUAGUCUCAGUUCUGCUACACCAUUCCUGACAGCUGGAAUGACUUCCUUAGCCAGGCAUGUGGAGGCUUUUCCUCACACCUACUUGAAGCUCUUCUUUUCUGUGAAGCCUACUAACAAUCAUCCACUUCAGUAGCACAGUGGCUCACCCAGUGGCAAGAAAAGAACAUCACUUCUGUUACCUGAACCUCCCCCUGGCAUGUCUGAUUUUUGUUGCCUAUUUACAUUUUAGACUGGAUUGUGCUAGUCGUUCCUUCUUGUGUCCUUAAAACAAAUGUCUACUGCUUUUAAAAGUAAGAGAGAAUUUCACACCUUUGAGUUCCACACAGGUCAGAGCAUACUAAAUGUAAUGGCUUGUAGGAAUGUCAAUUAUGGUCUGCUUGAUCUGCUUUGACAUUCAAGCAUCAGAACUUCUUAUGUCCUUGCAAGAUGGACAUGUUGCUUUUACGCUGUGCCUGAUUUAGGUAGUUCACUGGCUGUGAUCAGUUGGAUAGAUGGGCAAAGUACCUCCUAAUCCUACCUCAGUCCAGCUUCCUAAUAUAUUCUUUAAAAAAAAAUUGUUUGCUUGUUUGUAUCUGCUUUUGCCAAUUUUUCUAAUGACUGUUUUCCCUUGAAUACCAGAUGACCAGAGUCAGGCUUUGAGUUUAUUCACAGACUUAAGUGCUGUGCUGGAAUAUGUCCUUGAACCACUAGCCUUCCACUAUUAAGUUCUGAAUGGUAAUACUAUUUUUAAUGUUGAUAGCUGGAAAUCAGCCUCCAAUAAAUCCACUGAAACUUGGUGGCUUCAAGCAAAAUAUGUUGUUGUUUGUGUCUCAUAUUGAGAAAAACCCUACGUGGCAAGUGGGGUCACUAAUAUCACACUUGGUUAUGAUGCUGAUGUUGCACCAUUGUGUCUUGGGUAAGACUAGAGCCUGAGGUAACGUGUGCAUUACAAACACCUAUAAAGUGAUCUUUUCCUUCAAAUAUUAGUGCUGCUACCUCAUGACUUUUACUGCAAGUCUUAUUGUGUUUGGUGUUUUUACUUAAAGCCCCAGCUCCGUGAGUUAGGUGACUGAGAGAACCUCAACAUUUUUAUUUUAAGGCCCUGACUUCAAGCCGAGCUGGUUGCGGAGCAAAGCUUGAAUAUGUGGCUCAAGUGUUCCCUUAAAACAUGAAGGCAUGAAAAAACCCCCAUGUCUGAUUCUUCUUUUAAUAUCUCGAGAUUUAAGGGGUUGUAGGGUGGGGGCAGACUGUGCCUUCUGGAAUGAUUGGGGUGGGGAAUGCUGUAUGCGGGCUAAAGAUAAAUGAAUCAACUGACAUUUAAAAAUUAAUUAAAAGACAUUAAAAUGCAUGGGCCAUGGAGUAUGACUGGUUGGUUUUGCUUCCUGGUUCUCAUGCUUUAGCAUGAGGUGGCUGUCUGGAUUUCUAACACUGUAAUGGAAGGCUCAAAUUACAUGGAUACUGUUUUGCCUUGUCAUGAAAACUUUUCUCU